rnacentral:rRNA from 1 species
GACGAACGCUGGCGGCGUGCUUAACACAUGCAAGUCGAGCGGAAAGGCCCUUCGGGGUACUCGAGCGGCGAACGGGUGAGUAACACGUGAGUAACCUGCUCCCGACUUUGGGAUAACCCCCGGCAACGGGGGCUAAUACCGGAGACGACGCAGCGUCGCAUGGGGUCUGUGUGGAAAGUUUGUCGGGUUGGGAUGGGCUCGCGGCCUAUCAGCUUGUUGGUGGGGGGAUGGCAUACCAAGGCGACGACGGGUAGCCGGCCUGUGAGGGCGACCGGCCACACUGGGCCUGGGGCACGGCCCAGACUCCUACGGGAGGCAGCAGUGGGGAAUAUUGCACAAUGGGCGGAAGGCGGAUGCAGCGACGCCGCGUGAGGGAUGACGGCCUUCUGGUUGUAAACCUCUUUCGGCAGGGACGAGGCGUAAGUGACGGUACCUGCAGAAGAAGCGCCGGCCAACUACGU